rnacentral:tRNA from 1 species
UGGCUCACUUGGCAGAGCGUGGCACUUGCAACGCCAGGGUUGUGGGUUUGAUUCCCAC